rnacentral:rRNA from 1 species
UACGAAGGGGGCUAGCGUUGCUCGGAAUGACUGGGCGUAAAGGGUGCGUAGGCGGUCGGGUAAGUCUGAUGUGAAAUCUCACAGCUUAACUGUGAAACUGCAUUGGAUACUAUCCGGCUAGAGGAAUGGAGGGGAGACUGGAAUACUUGGUGUAGCAGUGAAAUGCGUAGAUAUCAAGUGGAACACCAGUGGCGAAGGCGAGUCUCUGGACAUUUCCUGACGCUGAGGCACGAAAGCCAGGGGAGCAAACGGG